rnacentral:lncRNA from 1 species
AUCACUGGAUUUCUCUGCUUACCUGAGGCCUUCUGAAGCAUACUUCCAUGCUCUACAGAGUCUCGAAGAAAGCAGCAGCAGGAAGCUUAGACUCCAUUUCCCCACUCUUUCCCAGCUAUAAUGAAGAUGUCCUGCUAGCAGAUGUUAUAUGACAGCAUCCUAGUAUUCAUUGCAAUACUGGGGAAGUAGCAGCAGAAAUGGAAAGCCCCUUGGUCUUCAAGAAACCAGCAUCUACUGGAGAGGUCAGGGCUGGAGAUGCUGCCAAAAGAGCCACAGAAGCAUGAUGCAAACUGUAUCCUCUUGCUGGGCUUUGGGAACUGCUCAGCUUUCAGCUGGGUUUGUGCCACUCAGGCUGUUCCUGUUAGGAGAAAGCUGGAGGAGUGCCCUUUUGCCCAAGGUCUGAUCUCCCAGGGGCUGCUGAGAUGCUAGCUGAUUCCCUUGUUGCUGCAUAGCUACCUGUGUUUCAGUGCUCCGGGAUGCUGCCUGAGUUCCCCUUUGGACUCCAGAGUCCCAUUGAGAUCAUGACAGCCAUGUUUAUGUGCUAUUCUAAUGCUGGUUGUUGCAGUGUAAGUGCUUUUUAAUGCAUGGCAUUACAGCAGGUGCAUGCUGUUCUCUCCCUUACCAAAUGGCUGUCUGGAGGGAUGUAAUUCCGGCUUCUGCCUCAGCAUGCUGUUAUUUACAAGUGUGGUUACACGGUUUGUGCCACCUCGGAGCUUAAUUUAGUUAAUUUGGUGCACAGCACAUGAGAACCACCUUUGCAGAAUGAGUGCUGUGAUACCCAGCUGGCUCAGGGAUCCCAUAACUGCAUCUCGGAGGUGGGAGGACUUCAGAAGAGCAUUCAGGGAGCAACGAGCAGUGGUGUCAGGAGCAUGAAGUCCCAUCACUUCUAUAUGUAAAACUAGAGCAGGACACAUGCGAUGUGUGUCUUGGGGUGGCCAGGUCUGUGGUAGCUCCUUGGCCAUUGACGCAGAGCUUUGUUGAUUGUCCCCACAAAGGCUUUUGGCUAUGGAUUUGUGGAUGUGGUUGUAGAAUAAAAUGAAAUUCCAC